AGUGAACGCUGGCGGUAGGCCUAACACAUGCAAGUCGAACGGCAGCACAGUAAGAGCUUGCUCUUACGGGUGGCGAGUGGCGGACGGGUGAGGAAUACAUCGGAAUCUACUUUUUCGUGGGGGAUAACGUAGGGAAACUUACGCUAAUACCGCAUACGACCUACGGGUGAAAGCAGGGGAUCUUCGGACCUUGCGCGAUUGAAUGAGCCGAUGUCGGAUUAGCUAGUUGGCGGGGUAAAGGCCCACCAAGGCGACGAUCCGUAGCUGGUCUGAGAGGAUGAUCGGCCACACUGGAAGUGAGACACGGUCCAGACUCCUACGGGAGGCAGCAGUGGGAAUAUUGGACAAUGGGCGCAAGCCUGAUCCAGCCAUACCGCGUGGGUGAAGAAGGCCUUCGGGUUGUAAAGCCCUUUUGUUGGGAAAGAAAAGCAGCAGGUUAAUACCCCGCUGUUCUGACGGUACCCAAAGAAUAAGCACCGGCUAACUUCGUG
rnacentral:rRNA from 1 species